AUGAACGGUAAUAAAUCUCUAAUAGCUUUGUCUUCCAAACGAAUGAAAUUUUAUAAAAGAAAAAAAAAACUUACAAUUAAAUUAACUGCAGCCUGCAGGCGAAAAUGAUGGCUUUGUGUGAUAGACUGAUGAAAUCGUGAAGGGUUUCUGUAUUUAGAAUCAAAGCUUUUAGUAAAACGCAGAAGUACAGGCUCUAACAACUAUAUUCUUGAUUCAUAUAAUCUGAGAUAAUAUACAAAAAUAGAUAUUGCUAACGUCAGUUUUAGCUACUAGCUAUAUAUACAAUUUGUCAAGUUGUAUAAAAAGAGAAGCCAUCAGAAUCUCGGAACUGGCCAAAAACUUGCAGACAUGAAAAACUAGCAAAGGGAAGAAAAAAAAAAUGAAGCAGAAGAUGACAUAUUUACCAUAUAACAGAAAACUGCAAUCUGUUGUGUGAAAGAAGAGUUAGUUUUAAUUUAGCUUAGGCAGCAAUAUUGGAAGGCCAAAAUUCUUGAC
rnacentral:lncRNA from 1 species